CAUGGUUAAAGUUGUUCUACACUUUAUAAUUUAUGUAUAUUUGUUCACAAAGUGAAAGUAGCCGUGUGUUUUCAGUACUAAACAGCUUAUUGUGUCUUAUGUCAACCCUACCAGACUUGGGAGAGAAAGUAUUUAAGUAGAGUAGUAUAGGCAUGCAUUUCAUGCACUUAUCUCUGUAGGGAAAGGUGGAAAGGCUUCUGGGAAUCCACUCUGUGCCAGGGCAUUGUGGGUAAUUGAAAUGUAUUUUCUUAAUUUAGCUUCGUAACAGCUCAUGAAGGUGGAAAGUGUUAUUAGCCCCAUGUUAUAAAGAACUUAGGGAAAUAAAAGUUAAGCAGUUUAUCUGCUAAGGUCACACAGAAUGUUUUCACAGAAUCCAAAUGUUUACCAAAGAGGCCAUAUCCUUCCUCCUGGUCCCCCCGGAGAAGAUUAUUCACACAGGAGGUACACUUGGAAUGUGAAGCCAAAUGCCAGUUGAGCAGCCCAGGAGAGAAGAAGGUGGUAUCCUGACAAUUACUCCGGACUAUCCUAUCCAGCCUAUUGGGAAUGGACCCAGUGAUACAAACCUGUCCUGGAAUUCCACCUGGAUACCAGAGCUGACCUGAAGAUUACAG